ACCACUGCUCUGGAUGGACUGAAUUCACUUAUUCAUUUAACAAAUAUGUAAGGACGGCUGCCAUCAGCAAGGCAUUGUUGGCGACAUAGCAGAUAAGGAAAUAAACAGCCUCUGCUCUCCUAGGUUUAGAAAGCUGAAUCAGAAUCUUCAGGGGAGGGGCCUAGGAGUCUGAAGUUUCUAAAAGCCGACCCGCCAAGACUGAGACUCAGGGAGCAGCAGAAAGAGCAGAGUCAGGCAGCUGUUUGAGUCUUGGUUCCUCUGCUUAUUGGCUGCUUGAGCUUGGAGAUUGCAUUGAUUGGGAAAGAGCAGGACUUCGGAAGGAAGAUCACGACUCUAGACGAAGGCUUCAGUGCACACGCACCACCAGGAUCAGGAAGAAAAGCAUUCUGAUUUAAUAUCUGGGGUGCAAAUUUUGUGAAGCCUUCCAAAGAAAUAGUGUCAAGUCUAAGAGGUCUUUGCCAAGCCCUACUUACUGAAGAUAUUCUCCACACACACUGAAAGUCAAGGGAGCAGGAAGCCCAGAACCUAAAGAUUGUCACAUCAGUGAGUCAGCUGCAAGAGCUUCCAGGCCUAGCGCUGCCAUGAUUGAAAAAGUUGAAGUCGGACUGCCAUUAUUCUGCUCUGUCAGAAACCAUCUGUGGCGGUAGCUAUCAUUCCACGUCUGUACCACAGACACAGGGCAAAGCUGGAUCUUCAGCUGUCGGUCGUGAGAGCUCCCCCGAUUCUGUGUGCAGUUCAACUUUGGAGAAGGCCCGACGGACAAGGGGCUCAGCAAAUAUCAGUUGCCUGAAAUCCCAAUAUGGACAGUUUCUCACUGAACUCUAGUUAUUCAUGUCAAAAAAGCAGUUUGCCAAUGCAUUUUUUCCUCUAACUUUUCCUCUUCAGGGUAAACUUGGUAAAUUACUCAUAAAAUAAUUUUCUUAAACCCUGACCCUCAUUUAGGGUGAGUUCUCUCUCCUACCCAAUAUUGACUCCAGAAAAAUAAAGUAAUGGAGAGAGUUUAUAGCUCUGUCUUUUAAUGGCAUGAAGUUAGAAUAACAAAGAACUUCACUUCCCUCUCCUGUAACAAUUUGUUAUUUAUUUUUUUAGCUUGUUGCCUGUGAUCUUAUUUUGAAGGCAAAAUAAGCUUAGCAUGCACAUCCCAUCAACUGCCACUACUUUAAAUUCGAACAAGGGUGGCUUUGAGUUUUUAUUUUAAUUUGGAAAAUGUGUUUCUUUUGAAGAAACAAAAUGCCAAGUUGUUAAUGAAAUGCUUUUAAUAGAUUUCUAAAUACUCCUGCCCAAUACGAAGCAAAACUCAACUUAUUCAUUCUAAGCCUGAAAACGUCCAUUUUCUUCUCAUGUAAGAGGAGCUAUAUGUUCUUAAGUUGAUUAAGACCAUAAAUUCUGAUAUUUCACAGUUCACUGCAUUACAUUCAUACGCCGUCAUAGUUACAUUGAUGAACAUUUAUCCAGGUCUUGCUUGCAAAAUAAAUAACAAUGUUAAAAAUCAUCUCGUUUCCUUUUGAUGUGUCCCUGUUGUACUACAUACAUUACAAAAUUAAAAAAAACAGAUUUCCUUUUGGCGGUCUUGAUUUGUUUGCUAGUUAAGCAGCAAUUAUGUAAUAAUUGUCAUUAUCAAUGCCCAAAGCCAUCUUUUACUAGAAGGUAUCGACCCCAAAUCGUUCAGCCACAGUGGCAAUACAGGUUGUAAUUCUAGAAUGCUUGUGCUUUCUCAAACAGAGCAUGAGUUUUCCAUUAGCUUCCCAGGGUGGCAAAGUACCUGAGAUCCUCUCUGAUGUGACCAAGUCACAGAUGAGCCUAACAAAUUGUUUUACAGGUGCAUAAACCAGAUCUACCAGUGAGACUAUGACUGCACAAACAACCUACUCUCAGGGAUCAUCUUCACAAGGUUUCUAAGGAUCACUGCAAGGGGAGAACCUCCGGAAGGUAGAAGAGUAACUUAAGUUUUCUACGCUACUGCAGACAGCUGCACCAGGAUCCUAAGGCUUCAUUUGCAGGUUCUUAGAAGUAAUUACUGCACCUCCUUAGCCCUGUUAUCUAAGCCAGUGCUAUCUAUUAGAAAUGUAAUAUACAACCCUUUCAUGUGUAAAUUUAAAUUUUAUAGUAGCCACAUACAGAAGUAACAAGAGGUAAAAUUAAUUUUAACAAUAUAUUAUUUAACCCAAUCUAUGCAGAAUAUUUUCAUUUCAAUAUUUAAUCAAUAUAAAAAUCGAGCUACAUAUGUACAUAUGUGUAUAUAUAUGUAUGUAUAUAUGGAUGUGUGUGUACAUGUAUGUACUAACUCUUUAAAACCUGAAGGUAUAUUUUACACUUACAUCUCAGUUUGUACCAGCCACAUUUCAAGUGCUUAAUAGUUACGUUGGACAGUACUGAGCCCUUACUGUACUAAAGUACUUGUUUUUGUUUUUAAUUGUGGACAGAAUCUUAUUUAAAAUUUCCUGAUAUGCAUGCUAUUAAGUCAUAAACUGUUGGCAGAUGUGUAAAUACAAUGAUUUUAAUUUCAUUCUUGACUACCAGUGAUUUUAUUCUUCCCAAAACUUGUCUUGCCAAGGGUCAAGAAAGAUGAUUCAGGAGCAUAUCCUUCAAGAGUCUCAGUGCCACACACUGAGCCCAGUGACUUUAAUAUGGGUGUGGUGAGCUGACCUCAGAGUCUAUUAUUAUGGCGAACCUGGGCCUUUUUCAAAAGAGGAUAUUUGUUCUGCUGUUCUUUGCAGGUGGAGACACCUUCCUCAUCUUUAUAUUCUCAGGGCCCAGUUAUUGUACAUGCACAGUAAGUGGCUGCUGGUACAUAAUGAUAACGAGACAAAAAGCAGUUUGAGAAUUAAGAUAUAGUCUCUGUUCAUAAGUCU